rnacentral:rRNA from 1 species
UACAGAGGUCUCAAGCGUUGUUCGGAUUCAUUGGGCGUAAAGGGUGCGUAGGCGGCGCGGUAAGUCGGGUGUGAAAUCUUGGAGCUUAACUCCGAACUGCAUUCGAUACUGCCGUGCUUGAGGACUGGAGAGGAUGACGUGGAAUUUACGGUGUAGCGGUGAAAUGCGUAGAUAUCGUAAGGAAGACCAGUGGCGAAGGCGGGUCUCUGGACAGUUCCUGACGCUGAGGCACGAAGGCCAGGGGAGCAAA